rnacentral:rRNA from 1 species
AACGAACGCUGGCGGCAGGCUUAACACAUGCAAGUCGAACGCCCCGCAAGGGGAGCGGCAGACGGGUGAGUAACGCGUGGGAAUCUACCUAGUUCUACGGAACAACAGUUGGAAACGACUGCUAAUACCGUAUACGCCCUACGGGGGAAAGAUUUAUCGGAAUUAGAUGAGCCCGCGUAAGAUUAGCUAGUUGGUGAGGU